rnacentral:rRNA from 1 species
UACGGAGGGGGCUAGCGUUGCUCGGAAUUACUGGGCGUAAAGCGCACGUAGGCGGCUUUGUAAGUUAGAGGUGAAAGCCCGGGGCUCAACUCCGGAAUUGCCUUCGAGACUGCAUCGCUCGAAUUGUGGAGAGGUAAGUGGAAUUCCGAGUGUAGAGGUGAAAUUCGUAGAUAUUCGGAAGAACACCAGUGGCGAAGGCGACUUACUGGACACAUACUGACGCUGAGGUGCGAAAGCGUGGGGAGCAAACAGG